rnacentral:rRNA from 1 species
CUGGCGGCGUGCCUAAUACAUGCAAGUAGAACGCACAGUUUAUACCGUAGCUUGCUACACCAUAGACUGUGAGUUGCGAACGGGUGAGUAACGCGUAGGUAACCUGCCUGGUAGCGGGGGAUAACUAUUGGAAACGAUAGCUAAUACCGCAUAAUAUUAAUUAUUGCAUGAUAAUUGAUUAAAAGGUGCAAUUGCACCACUACCAGAUGGACCUGCGUUGUAUUAGCUAGUAGGUGAGGUAACGGCUCACCUAGGCGACGAUACAUAGCCGACCUGAGAGGGUGAUCGGCCACACUGGGACUGAGACACGGCCCGGACUCCUACGGGAGGCAGCAGUAGGGAAUCUUCGGCAAUGGACGAAAGUCUGACCGAGCAACGCCGCGUGAGUGAAGAAGGUUUUCGGAUCGUAAAGCUCUGUUGUAAGAGAAGAACGGGUGUGAGAGUGGAAAGUUCACACUGUGACGGUAUCUUACCAGAAAGGGACGGCUAACUACGUGCCAGCAGCCGCGGU